rnacentral:tRNA from 1 species
GCCCAGGUGGUGGAAUUGGCAGACACAAGGGACUUAAAAUCCCUCGACCGUUAGGUUGUGCGGGUUCGAGUCCCGCCCUGGGCA